AGAGUUUGAUCAUGGCUCAGGAUAAACGCUGGCGGCGCACAUAAGACAUGCAAGUCGAACGGAAGUCGUUACGAAAUGGAAUGAAGAUUUAUCUGAUUGAAGUUUUGUAACAAUGGCUUUAGUGGCGGACUGGUGAGUAACACGUAAGCAAUCUACCUAUUAGAGGGGAAUAACAAUGAGAAAUCAUUGCUAAUACCGCAUAAGCUUGUAGUACCGCAUGGUACAGCAAGAAAAGGAGCAAUCCGCUAAUAGAUGAGCUUGCGGCUGAUUAGCUAGUUGGUGGGGUAACGGCCUACCAAGGCGACGAUCAGUAGCCGACCUGAGAGGGUGACCGGCCACAUUGGGACUGAGACACGGCCCAAACUCCUACGGGAGGCAGCAGUGGGGAAUAUUGCACAAUGGGGGAAACCCUGA
rnacentral:rRNA from 1 species